AAACAGAUUCAUGCAGCCCCUGAAAUACCUUUUUUGUCUGAAACACCUUUUUUGUCUGAAACUCAAUUCCAGGCUUCAGGCUGAGGCCCUAGAAAGGAAAACCAGAUCUGAGGGAUCCAAAGCCUGGCAACGGGCACAAUAAUGGGCGAUCAGCUGUCUUCACCACCCCCAGCUUAUUCUCUAGAGUGUAUCCUGAACCACUGGGACUGCUUUGACCCUCAGACUCUGGAGGAAAUGGCUCAUAGCCCUCUGCACAAAGGUUUGGGCAAAUUAUGAAGGACUGGCUUGGGCUCAGGAAGAAACCAUUCAUUUCGAUAUCAUCCAGCAGUUGGAGCUUUUCUGUAAACGUGAGGGCAAAUGCUCUGAGGCCCCAUAUGUGCAGGCUUUCUAUACCUUGCAGGGCAAUCCAGACCUUUGCUGACAAUGCAGAGUUAAUCCAGACUGGUUUGCCAUCUCGGGAGAGGCUGCAAGGGGCAAUCCCAGGGAACUAAACAAACAAAUCCCAGAGGCAUCCCCAGCAGAGGAGCCAGCUCCCUCCAGCCCUGCUCCUCCAUGUCCACCCCAUCCUCCCUAUCCAGCUUCAGUCUCUCACUUGCCGCCUCCUAGAAAUUCUCACCCUAGACAAGCCCCAGUCUCAUUCUUUCCCCUCCAACAGAUGCCUGGUGAAUUUGCCCCAGUAAGGUCUAGGUGCCCUUCUCUCUACAGAACUUGAAGCAAAUUGAGGGGGAUCUUGGCAAGUUUUCAGAUGACCCUGAAAGAUAUAUAGAGGCUUUCCAGAACUUAAUCCAAGUAUUUGAACUCUCCUAAGAAGAUGUCAUGUUACUUUGAACCAAACCCUGACUAACACUGAGAAGCAGGCCACUCUGCAAGUGACAGAGAGAUCUGGGGAUGAGGUUUGUAUCAUAUGUAGGAAAGGGGGUGAAUAUUAUCCAACUGGAAGAGAAGCAGUAUCAAUGAAAGUCUCUAAAUGGGAUCCCAAUGACAAGAUGGGAGAAAGGAAGAGGAGAGUUUCAGGUGUGCAUAAUAGAGAGCUUAUGUAGGACUAGAAGUAAGCCUCUCCACUAUAUCAAGAUAUCCAUGAUAGAUCAGGGAUUUAAUGAAAAUCGCACUGCCUUCUUGGGGAGGCUAAGAGGGGCCUUUGUAAAGCAUAGGUCUCUGUGUCCCAAUUCUGUCAAGGGACAACUAAUCCUAAAUGAUAAAUGUAUUACUCAGGCAGCCCCUGAUAUCAGAGGGAAGUUGCAGAAAUGGGCCCUGGCAUCAGGGAGUACUUUAGGAGACCUCCUGAAAGUGGCCACCUUGGUCUUUUACAGUAUAGAUAGGGAGACACAAGAAAGAGGCAGAAGCUUUAAGGGCCACCAUGCAAACCCACAAACCCCAGAAUUCCUAACGUGCAUCUGUUAACUCCUACAGAUGUGGCAAGAACAGUUAUCUCUCUUCUAAAAUUUAACCACACCCAUACAAGUCUUAAUUUCUUUCACCAGGGUGAAACAGCUCAGGGUACAAUGUUGUGAGUAUAUUACAUUUCCUAUUUCUGUAAUCUUUGGCACUAGAUUAUUUCCUUGUAUAAUACACAUGUUUAACCCAUGCAUACUUAACACCUU
rnacentral:antisense_RNA from 1 species